GCUGGGCAUGGUGGCUCAUGCCUGUAGUUCCAGCUAUUCGGGAGGCUAAAGUGGGAGGAUCACUUGAGUCCAGGAGUUCUGGGCUGCAGUGCGCUAUGCCAAUUGGGUGUCUGCACUAAGUUCGGCAUCAAUAUGGUGACCUCCCCGGAGCAGGGGACCACCAGGUUGCCUAAGGAGGGGUGAACCGGCCCAGGUUGGAAACGGAGCAGGUCAAAACUCCCGUGCUGAUCAGUAGUGGGAUUGCGCCUGUGAAUAGCCACUGCACUCCAGCCUGGGCAAUAUAGUGAGACCCUGUCUCUU
rnacentral:SRP_RNA from 1 species